rnacentral:lncRNA from 1 species
UCAAAGGUAAUUUUAUAUAAUGGUAUAGAUAACGAUAAUAGAUAUAUGGAUAUUCUGAUUCUCAAUGAGCCUCAAGAGUGAAUGGAUGAAGGGCACAUUCCUGAUAUUUGAGUGUACAUGUUAAUACAAGUGCCAUUAUGAAGGGCACCAUUCUGCCCCGAAUACUACUCAUCUCCGGUAAACAAUGAGGCAAGGAACCAUACACUUAUGUAGGACACUAUACAGAUGCUGAAAAAUGCACUGCAAAAGGUAAUUGAUCAUCAAGAGUUCGCGGUCUUUUCGCAGCUUCCAUUUUCGGAUUUCUUGACCUCUCCUUGGCAUUGAUCACAUCCUCCCAAGCUCUUGGCACGAUUCUCCGAGCUGGCUGACCGCUGCUGCAGUUGUUGCUCUCCCAUGGAAAGGAUUCUCUGCAUCGCUUCCGCUAGGCUUUUCACUUUCUUUCUGUCAUUAAUCUCAUCCGCCGGUUGAUGAUUUCUAUUCUUGUAGCUGCUCUCAGUUUUGCUGCCUUCAGAUGGCCAAAAAUUUGACUCCUCAUCUUGCCUUGCGUUCAAUUUAUAGAGCCUUCUGUACUUCAUAACUCCACUGCAAGUUCUACA